CAGUGCAAUGUUCCAAGGUGUG
rnacentral:miRNA from 1 species